rnacentral:rRNA from 1 species
AGGCGGGGCGGGUGCUAUACAUGCAAGUCGAGCGGACAGAUGGGAGCUUGCUCCCUGAUGUUAGCGGCGGACGGGUGAGUAACACGUGGGUAACCUGCCUGUAAGACUGGGAUAACUCCGGGAAACCGGGGCUAAUACCGGAUGGUUGUUUGAACCGCAUGGUUCAAACAUAAAAGGUGGCUUCGGCUACCACUUACAGAUGGACCCGCGGCGCAUUAGCUAGUUGGUGAGGUAACGGCUCACCAAGGCAACGAUGCGUAGCCGACCUGAGAGGGUGAUCGGCCACACUGGGACUGAGACACGGCCCAGACUCCUACGGGAGGCAGCAGUAGGGAAUCUUCCGCAAUGGACGAAAGUCUGACGGAGCAACGCCGCGUGAGUGAUGAAGGUUUUCGGAUCGUAAAGCUCUGUUGUUAGGGAAGAACAAGUACCGUUCGAAUAGGGCGGUACCUUGACGGUACCUAACCAGAAAGCCACGGCUAACUACGUGCCAGCAGCCGCGGUAAUACGUAGGUGGCAAGCGUUGUCCGGAAUUAUUGGGCGUAAAGGGCUCGCAGGCGGUUUCUUAAGUCUGAUGUG